rnacentral:rRNA from 1 species
GGGGAAUUUUCCGCAAUGGGCGCAAGCCUGACGGAGCAAGACCGCGUGAGGGAGGAAGGCUCUUGGGUUGUAAACCUCUUUUCUUUGGGAAGAAGCAAGUGACGGUACCAAAGGAAUAAGCCUCGGCUAACUCCGUGCCAGCAGCCGCGGUAAUACGGAGGAGGCAAGCGUUAUCCGGAAUCAUUGGGCGUAAAGCGUCCGCAGGUGGCACUUCAAGUCUGCUGUCAAAGGCUGGGGCUUAACCCUAGAAAGGCAGUGGAAACUGAAGAGCUAGAGUACGAUAGGGGUAGAGGGAAUUCCCGGUGUAGCGGUGAAAUGUGUAGAGAUCGGGAAGAACAUC